GCGGAUGUGAUGGAACUUGGUAGACAUGCAAGAUUUAGGUUCUUGUGCCGCAAGGCGUGGGGGUUCAAGUCCCUUCAUCCGUACCA
rnacentral:tRNA from 1 species